AAGAAAAAGUGUGAUUUUUCAAGGAAUCAAGUGUUUAAAGGUGGUGAGCUAUCUGAUACGGGUAAAAGACUACACCCGAGGAUCGAGAAUAGGAGUAUAUCUACUCCUAGUACAUGGGCACUGCAGUGAUGGGAGUUCUGUGGGCCAGCCUAAUUAGAGGGGCACGGUUCUCAAUUAUUGAGCUUACCUUGAUUGGAG